rnacentral:rRNA from 1 species
UAAUCCCGGAUACGGCUCGCUGCCUGGAGUUGGCGCGAGCUCGAAACGUUCAGGCGCGACAGGAUGUGGCUGCGGCCGAUUAGGUAGACGGUGGGGUAACGGCCCACCGUGCCGAUAAUCGGUACGGGUUGUGAGAGCAAGAGCCCGGAGACGGAAUCUGAGACAAGAUUCCGGGCCCUACGGGGCGCAGCAGGCGCGAAACCUUUACACUGCACGCGAGUGCGAUAGGGGGACUCCAAGUGCGAGGGCAUAUAGUCCUCGCUUUUUGCGACCGUAAGGAGGUCGCGGAAUAAGUGCUGGGCAAGACCGGUGCCAGCCGCCGCGGUAAUACCGGCAGCACAAGUGAUGACCGCUAUUAUUGGGCCUAAAGCGUCCGUAGCUACUUUCC